rnacentral:rRNA from 1 species
GACGGAGGAUGCAAGUGUUAUCCGGAAUCACUGGGCGUAAAGCGUCUGUAGGUGGUUUAAUAAGUCAACUGUUAAAUCUUGAGGCUCAACCUCAAAAAUCGCAGUCGAAACUAUUAGGCUAGAGUAUAGUAGGGGUAAAGGGAAUUUCCAGUGGAGCGGUGAAGUGCGUAGAGAUUGGAAAGAACACCGAUGGCGAAGGCACUUUACUGGGCUAUUACUAACACUCAGAGACGAAAGCUAGGGUAGCAAAUGGG